AUGACUGCAAGAGUGAGUCACAUGAACCAUGAGUCUGCAACCAUGACUCUGAUCAGCGUCUUCAUCUACACACUGGUCGUCUGGGCUCAAGGAUCCAGAGGUCAGGUGACUGUGACUCAGACUCCUUCAGUGCAAACUGUUGCUCCAUCAAACACAGUCACCAUCAACUGCAGAACCAAUCUCAGAGUAUUUAAUGGUAACUAUCUCUCCUGGUACGUGCAGAAACCAGGAGAAGCCCCCAAACAUCUGAUCAAGCACAUUAAUAGUUUACAAUCAGGUAUUUUAGCUCCUUUCAAAGGCAGUGGAUCUGAUACUGACUUCACGCUGACCAUCAGUGAAGUCCAGACUGAAGUUGCAGGAGAUUAUUACUGUCAGAGUGACAGUGGAACUGGUUCUAGUGGAACUAGUGUUUUGUAUUUUAAGAUUAAGAUUAUGUUAUUACGUUUAUCUUGUACAAACUCAACUGGAUGUGUGUGACACAUAUCUUUAUGUCCUCAUAUCCCCAAAGCAAAGAGCUUUUUGAGGCUUGAUUUUCAAGGACGGUAAUUUCAUUUCAUUCCCAAUUCUAAGCUCUGCCCUUUUGACCAUAUACUUUUGCUUGUUUGCUUGCUCUUCUUCUCGUCUCUCCUCCUCUCUCUCUUUUCCUCCUCUCCUCCUCCUUCUGCUGAUGACUGGCCUAGCAUAUCAGUGAUCUGCUUACUACCUGGAAACACAGUCAUAUGCAGUGGCUUUGAAAGAGAACACAUCUUUUCAACUGGAAUCCCACAAGGCUCCGAGUUUGGCCCUCUUCUUUUUUAAUUUUAUUUACCUAUCGCAUCACUGCUAUG